rnacentral:lncRNA from 1 species
UUUUUUUGUUUUUUUUGUUGGUCGACUGGUCGACUCUAACUGAUGAAACUAGUGGGGGCACGCUGAGUGCACCCACUGGGUGUAGUCCCCGAGACUGUGGUCGAAUGUUUGUAUUCGGCCAUAGUCUUAGAAACGCUAUGAUUUUUCUUUAGUCACUCGGAAGUGAAUUGUCUUUGACAUCUGUCGAUUGGUUCUUCAUAGAAAUCCUGCGACCUUGCGGCUCGUUAUACUGAGUUGGAGAACAAACACAUCCAGCUCGAGCUUGAUCUGAAACUGACCCAAGAGAACCUAACGAAGGUGAAGGAGGAAGCUAAAGGUAUGUUUGGUGAGGCCUCCGACGACUGCCUUUGCCUCUCGUUUGUUUCAGAGUCUGAUCUCACUGUAACUUUGCAGAAAAAGUGAGGGAUGCCCUGAAGAAAAAAGACCUUGACUUGGCUGAGAUGCAGAAAGCGGCUUUAAAGAAGACCAAGCUCGCAGAUGAGAAGCUGGCUUCAGUCACCAAGCUUGAAGAAGAAAACACCAAUCUGAAAGCUGCUCUGGAUGCUUCCAACAAGGAGGUCAGUCGACUGAAAAGUGACAAGAUUGCCCUGAACGACAAGGCCAGUGAGUUGCUGGGAAAGAAGAACGAUCUGGAGGCUUAUCUGGGUGGACUCGCCAAGAAGCUAUUCCUCAUGCUUGAAGGUAAUCUUUUGUAUCAAACAGACAUUUUAACUGUGAUCUUCAACUGUUGUCUUGACUCGGUGGUUGUGCUUGCAGAAUUUUGCCAGAACUUUGAAGAGGAGACUGGUCGACUGGAAAUAAACCUGGAUCCCAUCAACUCUCCCGUGAAAGAUGAAGUCGCCAUGAAUGUGCUCCGGCUUGAAUCUCGCAUCGUUGCUGUCGUCGACUAUCUCGCAAGGCUGAAGGUCGCAACUUCUCGCAUCGAUGCAACACUCUGGCCAAGAGAGAUGCUCCAGAACGACCUCGAGUCUCUGGUGACUCGACUGAACGAGGUCCCAAGUCGAGUGCAGGAGUGGAAGAAGUCUUCUGCCAGGUGUGGCGCGGAUGUUGCUCUGUCUCUGGUUCGCGUUCACUGCAAGGAUGCACGAGAGGACAAGCUGGUGGCCCUUAGGGUGGCCAACACCAAGAAGCAUGAUUUCCGAUCUUUCAUGGAGACCUUCGUCGCCGCUGCCACUCGGAUUGCAGAUGGAAUCGACCUGGAUGAGUUUGUUGCACCUUCUAGCCCUCCACAGGAGGGGUAAAAAACUUCUGAGCUUGAUACUUUAAAUUUGCCUCGGUAUGUCGAGUGAGUUUUGUAACCGACAAACCUUAACAGGCUUAGCGCCUGAGCACUUUCUGUUCCGUUAGGUAUUAUCCGAACUUGGAUUCGACGUUGGAUAUGUUUGCAUUUGGUUUGAGGUGUCUUUUGCAGGCUAACGCGGAGUGCUCAUUGCAAUCGACUUGUUCCCCGAUAUACUUAGGCAAGCACUGGGCUGCAGCUAAGCCCCUGAGUGGGAGGUUUGCUCUCCACUCGGUGGGAUUUUCAAAAACUUAGGCGAGCACUGGGCUGCAGCUAAGCCCCCGAGUGGGAGGUUUGCUCUCCACUCGGUGGGAUUUUCAAAAACUUAGGCGAGCACUGGGCUGUAGCUAAGCCCCGAGUGGGAGGUUUGCUCUCCACUCGGUGGGAAUUUCAAAAACUUAGGCGAGCACUGGGCUGCAGCUAAGCCUCCGAGUGGGAGGUUUGCUCUCCACUCGGUAGGAUUUUCAAAAACUUAGGCGAGCACUGGGCUGCAGCUAAGCCUCCGAGUUGGAGGUUUGCUCUCCACUCGGUAGGAUUUUCAAAAACUUAGGCGAGCACUGGGCUGCAGCUAAGCCCCCGAGUGGGAGGUUUGCUCUUCACUCGGUAGGAUUUUCAAGGCGUACCUCUGGAGAAGGAAGUAGCAGUCGACCUGCACCUCGUCUUCCUUGCAGAGCGCACGUUGUAUUUGUGGCGUAGCUCGGAAGGAGAGAGUAGCAGUCGACCUGCACCUCGUCCUCCUUGCAAAGCGCAUGUUGUAUUUGUGGCAUAGCUCGGAAGGAGAGAGUAGCAGUCGACCUGCACCUCGUCCUCCUUGCAGAGUGCAUGUUGUAUUUGUGGCGUAGCUCGGAAGGAGAGGGUAGCAGUCGACAUGCACCUCGUCUCCCUUGCAGAGCUCACGUUGUAUUUGAACUUAGGCGAGCGUGAUGCUGCAGCUAAGCCUCCGAAUGGAAGGCUGGCUUACCACUCGGUAGGAUUUGGUUUAACUUAGGCGAGUACUUGGACUGCAGCUAAGCCUCCGAGUGGAAGGCUGGCUUACCACUCGGUAGGAUUUGGUUUAACUUAGGCGAGUACUUGGACUGCAGCUAAGCCUCCGAGUGGAAGGCUGGCUUACCACUCGGUAGGAUUUUGUUUAACUUAGGCGAGUGCUUGGACUGCAGCUAAGCCUCCGAGUGGAAGGCUGUCUUACCACUCGGUAGGAUUUUGUUUAACUUAGGCGAAAUGGAUUUCGUAGCUAAGCCUUCGAGUGGGAGGCUGGCUCAUCACUCGGUUAGGAUUUUUUUAUAGACUUAGGCGAAUCAGAUUCGCAGCCAAGCCACCCACUGGGGGAUUGCUUUAUGUGGACAAAAGUAAUAACAAUUACUGGGAAAAUUAUAAAGCUCUUGUCUUUGAUAAAUAAACUACAGAAGUACUUUUAUUACAACUCAUCCGAGUGAAUACUCAAGUGUAAAAGGGGCGGAGAAGCUCCGUGUUCCAAGCUCGGGGCUCGUCGAUCUGAUGCUUGACAUUGCAGAGACGGUAUGCUCCAUUGUGGAGAACCUUGGUGACGAUGAAGGGACCUUCCCAAGAAGGAGCAAGCUUGUGUGGUUUCUGCUGAUCCACUCGGAGAACCAAAUCUCCUUCCUGGAAGGCUCGACUCUUCACAUUUUUGGCGUGGAAGCGACGCAAGUCUUGUUGAUAAAUGGUCGAUCGGAUUAGGGACAUCUCCCUUUCUUCCUCUAAAAGUCGACUGCAUCCUGCCGUGCUUGUUCUGCUUCAGCCUCGGUGUAGAGCUCGACCCGAGGAGCAUUGUCGAGAAGGUCACUCGGCAAGACCGCUUCAGCUCCGUAGAACAAGAAGAACGGAGUUCUUCCAGUCGACCGGUUGGGCGUCGUCCUUAACCCCCAAAGUACCGAAGGAAGUUCGUCGACCCAUGCACUAGCCGCAUGCUUGAGGUCACGCAUCAAACGGGGUUUCAACACUUUGAGAAUCAGGCCGUUGGCUCGUUCUGCCUAUCCAUUCGACUGCGGAUGGGCGACUGAAGCAUAGUUGACUCGUGUGCCUUGAGACAUGCAGAAAGCUCUGAAUUCUUCGGAAUCGAAGUUUGACCCAUUGUCAGUGAUGAUGCUGUGCAGGACUCCAUAUCUGAAUAUUAAUUCUCUGAUAAAGCUGACAGCAGUACCGGCAUCGAGGUUCUCGAUGGGUUUGGCCUCGAUCCACUUGGUGAACUUGUCGACUGCUACCAGCACAUGGGUGAAACCGCUUCUGCCUGUUCUCAAAGGGCCGACCAUAUCCAACCCCCAUACUGCAAAGGGCCAAACGAGUGGUAUGGUUUUUAAAGCUGAGGCGGGCUUGUGUGACAUAUUGGAGUAAAAUUGACAUCCCUCGCACUUGUCGACUAUCUCCUUUGCCAUUUCAUUCGCUCUUGGCCAAUAAAAUCCGGCUCGGUAUGCUUUGGUCACAAUGGUCCGGGAAGACGCAUGAUGGCUACAGGUCCCCGAGUGGAUGUCAUCAAGGAUUAUUCGACCUUCGUCUGGCGUUAUGCAUUUCUGACCAACUCCAGUCGUGCUUUCUCUGUAUAGCUGCCCCCUUAUCACAGUAAAGGCUUUAGAUCGGCGGACGAUCUGUCGAGCCUCUUCUUCGUCCUCCGGGAGCUCUUUCCUCAAGAUAUACGCGAUAUACGGUACUGUCCAAUCGGGAGUGACCACCAAAGCUUCCAUGACCAGGUCGACCACCGCUGGAACUUCAACCUCAGUUGGAUCCGUAACACUCUUAGGUUGCGGGCUUCGUCGGUAAAAGGAUCUUCUAUGACUGAUGGAGUAUGGAUAUGCUCCAAGAACACAUCACUGGGGAUGGCUUCUCUCUUGGAUCCUAUCUUCGCCAAAUCAUCAGCCGCUUGAUUUUUCAGUCGGGGUAUAUGGUGGAGCUCUAACCCUUCGAAUUUCUUUUCGAGCUUCCUCACUGCAUUGUAGUAUCCAGUCAUGGCUGGGCUUCUAACGUCCCACUCCUUCAUCACCUGAUUGACCACCAAAUCUGAGUCGCCAUAAACCAUAAGGCGACGAACGCCGAGUGAAAUGGCCAUGCGCAACCCAUACAAAAGUGCUUCAUAUUCUGCUUCAUUGUUGGAGGAAUCAAAGUGGAUCUGGAGCACAUAUCUUAGCUUAUCUCCUCGGGGGGAAACCAAAACUACCCCAGCACCAGAACCAUUUAACAUCUUAGAGCCAUCAAAGAACAUGGUCCAAUGCUCCGAGUGAACUUGAGUCGGCUGCUGUUGUUUGAUCCACUCGGCAAGGAAAUCUGCUAUAGCCUGGGACUUAAUGGAUUUCUUUGCCUCAAAUUUGAUAUCAAGGGGAAGGAGUUCAAUUGCCCAUUUAGCCACUUGACCAGUUGCGUCUCUGUUGUGCAGAAUCUCUGACAAUGGUGCGUCGCUGACGACCGUAAUGUCAUGAUCAGAGAAAUAAUGAGCAACCUUCUUCAUGGUCAUGUAGAUCCCAUAUAUGAGCUUCUGAUAAUGAGGAUAUCUUUGCUUCGAUGGAGUCAAAACUUCAGAGAGAUAAUACACUGGGCGCUGAACUUUGAAGGUUUUACCUUCCUCUUCCCGCUCGACCGUAAGUACUGAACCGACGACCUGUCCUGUGGCUGCAAUGUAAAGCAACAGAGGCUCUUUGCUGAUUGGAGCAGCAAGCACUGGCUGGGUGGAGAGCAGAGCUUUUAGCUCGGCAAACGCUGCAUCAGCUUCUGGAGUCCACUCGAACUUGUCUGCCUUCUUCAUCAGUCAGUAAAGAGGCAACGCCUUUUCACCGAGGCGAGAGAUGAAUCGACAUAACGCGCCCAAGCAUCCAGUAAGCUUCUGGACAUCGUGCACACGCACAGGGCGUUUCAUUCGGAGUAUGGUGCCAACUUUUUCUGGGUUAGCAUCGAUUCCUCGUUCUGAAAAGAGAAAACCGAGUAACUUUUCGCCAGGUACUCCAAAUGUGCACUUUGAUGGAUUGAGCUUGAUAUCAUAUCUCCUGAGAUUGGCAAAUGUUUCGGCUAGGUCAGUCAACAGGUCGGAACCCUUUCGUGACUUAACCACGAUAUCAUCCAUGUACGCUUCCACAUUCCGACUGAUUUGAGUGAGUAAACACUUUUGAAUCCUUCUCAUGAACGUGGCUCCGGCAUUCUUGAGACCGAAUGGCAUGGUGAUAUAGCAGAAGCACGCGAAUGGAGUGAUGAAAGCUAUUUUGAUUUCGUCAGGUCCAUACAGACGGAUCUGAUGAUACCCGGAAUAGGCGUCUAAAAAAGACAAUCUCUCGCAUCCCGCAGUCGAGUCGACAAUUUGGUCGAUGCGAGGGAGAGGAAAAUGAUCUUUUGGGCAGGCCCGAUUGAUAUGUUUGAAAUCAAUGCACAUGCGGAGUGAGUUGUCCUUCUUGGGGACCAUGACGACAUUGGUGAGCCACUCGGAGUGGUAUAUCUCUCGGAUAAACUCUGCUGCAAGGAGUCGAGCCACCUCCUCGCCAAUGGCUUUUUUCUUCUGAACGGUGGACUGUCGAAGAUGUUCUUUAACAGGUUUUGCUUUUGAGUCGACUCUAAGGCCAUGCUCAGCCAGCCCCCUGGGAACACCCGGCAUGUCAGCAGGCUUCCAUGCAAAGAUGUCCCAGUUCUCACGGAGGAACUGAAUGAGCGCUUCUUCCUAUUUAGAGUCGAGUGUUGUGGAAAUAUGGGUCGGAGCUGCAUUGGGGUCAGUCGGGUGGAUAUGAACUGGCUUCGUCUCUCCUGAUGACUGGAACGCUGACUCUGUGGCGGGCUUCUUGGCCCGCAGCAAAUCACUCGGAUCUGCAUUUUUCUUGUAUUCUUCUAGCUCUACCACUGUUAUCUGGGCAUCCGCAAUCUUCGAGCCUUUCUGGAAACACUCUUAUGCUUUCUUCCGGCUGCCAGUGAUAGUGAUCACGCCUUUGGGGCCGGGCAUAUUUAAUUUGAGGUACACAUAACAUGGUCGAGCCAUGAAGCGGGCAUAGGCUGGUCUUGCCAAAAUAGUGUGGUAAGCGCUCUGGAAAUCCACGACUUCAAAUGUCAGCUUCUCUUUGCGGAAAUGCUUCGAGUCGCCGAACACUACCUCCAGAGCUAUUUGACUGAGUGCUCAGCCUUCUUUCCAGGAAUGACUCCGUGAAAACUCAUGUUGCUGGAGCUGAGCCUGGACAUCGGAAUGCCCAUUCCCUUGAGCGUCUCUGCAUACAGUAUAUUCAACCCACUGCCGCCAUCCAUCAAUACCUUCGUCAGUCGAGUGCCUUCGACGACUGGGUCGACCACCAGCGCUUGCCUCCCAGGGGUGGAAAUGUGAGUGGGGUGAUCGGAUUGGUCGAACGUAAUGGGAGUUUGCGACCAUUUCAGAUAGCUUGGUGUCGCCGGGGCGACCAUAUUUACCUCUCGGUUGAUCACUUUCAGUCGACUUUUGCUCUCUACAUCAGCAAAAAUCAUCAGGGUGGAAUUGACAUGAGGGUACCCUCCAUCACUGUCCUCCUUGUCCUCGGCCUUGUCCGACUCCUUCUCUUUGUCCUUGGGUUGUUUUCCUUGAAACUGCUGGAUUAAGAGUCGGCACUGGCGAGUGGUGUGUUUCGUGUAAAUGAAGUUACCCUCUUCGUCUUUCUUCGUGUGGAUGUGACAUGGUAGAUCCAUCACGUCAUUUCCUUCUUUAUCCUUUACCUUCUUGGGGUUCCAAGAUCCUUUGGGCUUCCCUUUGAAUUUGCCCUGAGUCACGGCCAGAGCCUCUCCAGGAGCAGCUGGCUCGGCCUUCCGCUUCUGCUUCCGAAUGGAGUUUCCUUUUUCCGAUUGACUCGGCUUAUAUUUGCCACUCCGGAGCCUGUCCUCUUCUUCACCGUUAGCGUAUUUGGUGGCAAUCUCCAUCAUUCGACUCAGGGUCAUAUCUCCGGUUCGACCAAACUUCAGGCUCAACUCUUUGUUCUUGACACCAUCCUUGAAGGCGCACACCGCUUGAUGGUCCGACACAUUCUCCACGGUAUGAUGCAAAGUGAUCCAUCUCUGGAUGUAAUCUCUCAAUGUUUCAAUCGACUUUUGUACGCGGACUUGCAGCUCCGUCAAUCCGGCCGGUCGCUUGCAAGUUCCCUCGAACGUCCUGACGAACACUCGGGAAAGAUCUUCCCAGGUGUAAAUGCUGCUAGGAGCUAACUGAUUCAACCACGCCCUGGCCGAACCCUCUAGCAUGAGUGCCAAAUGCUUCAUGGCCACCUCAUCAUUACCACCACCAAUAUGUACAGCCACUCGGUAGUAUUCAAGCCAAGUUUCAGGCUUGGACUCUCCGAUGAACUUACUUACCCCAGUCGCCAACCUGAAGUUGGGGGGUAUCACUGCGGCUCUGAUGGCUCUGCUAAGGCAUUCUGGACCUGAAACAUGGACUCGGCUGCUGGUGGGCACAUCUCUGUCAUGGCCACCUCUAUGAGCUCUGUUCCGAUCGACCAGAUCCUGCACGAUGAUGGAUGUCGCGUCAAAGCCUGGUUCUCUGGGGUUGACCAGAGCUCUCUGCCCAACACUAAGCUGGCGCCUGUCAUCUUGCUGCCAAUGGGCGUUAGACCCACUUCUCGGGGGAGGAGUGGGCACUCGACGUCUAUCAUCACGAUCAAAUCGGUCAUCAUAGUGGUCCCGCCGGCCUUCACGUCCCACGUGCCUCGGAGGUGACCUUGGGCUGUGAGCCGACUGAACAGUAUUCGCAGCGACGGAUCGAUUGUGAAUCAUGUUGCGCGACUGUGACACAACUGAAUUCUGAUCUCCUGCCGCCCGGAGCAAAUCCCUGAUCUGCAUCAAGCCUCUUCCAGCCUCCGACUGGGAGGGAUGAAUUGACUCCGCUAUACGGGCUACAGCUGCCAAAUUCUGAAUCGGGGUUCGAUAUACCUGAGUCGGUUGCGGAAAGAGCUGACGUCGGCUGGAGUCAGGUACUCGUUGACGCGCACGCUCGUCGAGUGCUCGCUGGAGGUUCUCCAGUUGAGUUCAUUCAGCCAAGUUGGCCAAACGCGCCUCUUCCAAAGCAUGAGCCUCAGGAGUUUCUCCUGCGAUGGGAGUAUGCAGGGUAUCCAUGUUCCGGCGGCGAAGAUCUUCUCUUUGCUGAGAAGUGAGUGGCUCGGGCUGAUAUUCUUCGUGGGCCCGAGCGGGAUCACCUCCAUCGUCCAUCCCGUCGGCGCGGGGGAAACCGGGAGGGCUACGAGGCCCGUUGACCAUCAGGACCUCCGCCGCUGGAUCACUGCUAUCGCACUCGGAUGCAGUCUCUACGGAGCCAGUCGACAGAUCAAACAGGCUAUAGAGAGAUUCGUCGGGCUCAAUUGUCGUGACUUGGGUGGUGGCCGAUUGGCGAGCCACUGCAUGUCUCACCCACCGCUGAAGCCUCGACCGACCAGAGCGCUUGCGCUGGCGGGAGACAGGGAGGGAGGAUGACACAGGACUCGACUGGUAUGGGGUCGACGGCUGCCGCAGCAGGACGCCGCGGACACACGCCCGAGAGUGUGUCGCCCCGCGGACGGGGAGCGCGUCGAUGUCGAGUGGUGCCUCCUGGAGCCAAGCGGAGUCGUCGGCGAUGAAAGCGAGCGCACCGAGACGGAUCUCGCGGCCCUCGACCAGAGCUCCGCCAGAAACCAUGAUGAAGGCAAUCAGACAAAUUGCAACUUCUCCAAAAAGUCGCUAAGACACCUGCCCCACGGUGGGCGCCAACUGUCGUGGUUCUAAGUCUGACAGUAGAAUGGGGGGUAGGAAUGGAGAGGCAAGAUCCUAGCUAUGGAGUAGUUGUACACACGAGUGUUUUACAAGUUCAGGCCCUUCUCAGAGGAAGUAAUAGCCCUACGUCUCAGAGCCCAGAGGCGGUCGACUAGUUUUUUGUGUAUAUGAGUUACAGGGGUGCGAACCCUUUACACUGAGGAGGGGGUUGGCUUAUAUAGAGUUCGCCAGACCCCUCCGGCCCUCAGUUAUGUAGGGUUUAAAGUACAUUAAGACAGGGGGUUAUUGGUAAUGCCCUCAUAAAGUGCCAUGAAGAUUAUUAAAGCUACUUAAUGACAGACCGUUGCAUGCUGAGUGACUUUAGGUCUCCUGGUCGUCGAGUGGUUAGCUUCAUGGUCGAGUGGCUAUCUUCAUCAUCGAGUGUCCUUGAGUUUGUCGAGUGAAGUCCCUCUUGGUCGACUGGAAGGUAGCUUCUUCUAAGGAUGUCCUUGGGUAGGGUAUCCUAGAUAGGUCCAUGACCCUACCCUAGGUACAUGUCUUCAUCAAUAAGUAUAUGAGUUCUUUUGACUAAUGUUGAGUCCAUGGAUUACACGCACUCUCACCCUUCCAUCAUUACUAGCCUCUUCGGUACCGUGCAUUGCCCUUUCUCACCUUGAGAGUUGGUGCAAACUUCGUCGGUGCAUCCAAACCCCGUGAUACGAUAUGCUCUAUCACACAUAAACCUCCUUAUAUCUUCCUCAAAACAGCCACCAUACCUACCUAUUAUGGCAUUUCCGUAGCCAUUCCGAGAUAUACUUCCAUGCAACUUUCCACCAUUCCGUUCAUCAUGACACGCAUCAUCAUUGUCAUAUUGCCUUGCAUGAUCAUGUAGUUGACAUCAUAUUUGUGGCAAAGCCACCAUGCAUAAUUUUUCAUACAUGUCACUCUUGAUUCAUUGCCCAUCCCGGUACACCGCCGGAGGCAUUCAUAUAGAGUCAUAUCUUGUUCUAGUAUUGAGUUGUAAAUAAAUAGAAGUGUGAUGAUCAUCAUUAUUAGAGCACUGUCCCCAAAAAAAGAAAGGCAAAAAAAAGAAAGGACAAAUUAAAAAAAAGCCCCCCCCAAAAAGGGGGCAAUGUUACUAUCCUUUUCCACACUUGUGCUUCAAACUAGCACCAUGUUCUUCAUAUAGAAGGUCUUUCAUGUUGUCACUUUCAUAUACUAGUGGGAAUUUUUCAUUAUAGAACUUGGCUUGUAUAUUCCUACGAUGGGCUUCCUCAAAAUGCACUAGGUCUUCGUGAGCAAGCAAGUUGGAUGCACACCCACUAGUUUCUUUUGUUGAGCUUUCAUAUAUUUAUAGCUCUAAUGCAUCCGUUGCAUGGCAAUCCCUACUCGUCAUGUUGACAUCAAUUGAUGGGCAUCUCCAUAGCCCGUUGAUUAUCCUCGUCAGUGUGAGACUUUCUUUUUUUUUGUCUUCUCCACACAACCUCCAUCAUCAUAUUCUAUUCCACCCAUAGUGUUAUAUCCAUGGCUCACGCUCAUGUAUUGCGUGAAAGUUGAAAUUUUUUUGAGAUUAUUUAAGUACGAAACAAUUGCUUGGCUUGUCAUCGGGGGUGUGCAAGAUGGGAGCAUUUUUGUGUGAUGAAAAUGAAGCAUGACCAAACUAUAUGAUUUUGUAGGGAUGAACUUUCUUUAGCCAUGUUAUUUUGAGAAGACAUGAUUGCUUUGAUUAGUAUGCUUGAAGUAUUACUAUUUCUUAUGUCAAUAUGAACUUUUAUUUUGAAUCAUUUGGAUCUGAACAUUCAUGCCACAAUAAAGAAAAUUACAUUGAGAAUUAUGCUAGGUAGCAUUCCACAUCAAAAAAUCUGUUUUUGUCAUUUACCUACUCGAGGACGAGCAAGAAUUAAGCUUGGGGAUGUUUGAUACAUCUCCAACGUAUCUAUAAUUUUUGAUUGUUCCAUGCUAUUAUAUUACCCAUAUUGGAUGUUUAUGGGCUUUACUUUACACUUCUAUAUCAUUUUUGGGACGACCCUACUAACCGGAGGCCCAGCCCGAAUUGCUGUUUUUUUGCCUAUUUCAGUGUUUCGAAGAAAAGGAAUAUCAAACGGAGUCCAAACGGAAUGAAACCUUCAGGAGCGAUCUUUUUGGAACAAACGUGAUCCAGAGGACUUAUAGUGGAAGUCAAGAAACAAAGGAGGAGGCCACGAGGGUGCCCGGCAUGCCCCCUACAGGUGGGUGCGCCCCCCACCCUCGUGGGCCCCUCGAGCGUCCACCGACCUACUUCUUCCUCCUAUAUAUACCCAUGUACCCCGAAAACAUCAGAAGCGACCACGAAAAACUAUUUCCACCACCGUAACCUUCUGUAUCCGCGAGAUCCCAUCUUGGAGCCGUCGGCGGCGCUCCGCCGGAGGGGGAAUCCACCAUGGAGGGCCUCUACAUCAUCUCCGAGGCAUGUCCUAUGAGUUGUGAGUAGUUUACCAUAGACCUUCGGGUCCAUAGUUAUUAGCUAGAUGGCUUCUUCUCUCUCUUUGAAUCUCAAUACAAAGUUCUCAUUGAUCUUCUUGGAGAUCUAUUCGAUGUAACUCUUUUUGUGGUGUGUUUGUUGAGAUCCGAUGAAUUGUGGGUUUAUGAUCAAGUUUAUCUAUGAGAAAUAUUUGAAAAUCUCCUCUGAAUUCUUUUAUGUGUGAUUAAGUUAUCUUUGCAAGUCUCUUCGAAUUAUCAGUUUGGUUUGGCCUACUAGAUUGAUCUUUCUUGCAAUGGGAGAAGUGCUUAGCUUUGGGUUCAAUCUUGCGGUGUCCUUUCCCAGUGACAGAAGGGGCAGCAAGGCACGUAUUGUAUUGUUGCCAUCGAGGAUAAAAAGAUUGGGUUUAUAUCAUAUUACAUGAGUUUAUCCCUCUACAUCAUGUCAUCUUUCUUAAUGCAUUACUCUAUUCUUUAUGAACUUACUCCAGAUGCAUGCUGGAUAGCGGUCGAUGUGUGGAGUAAUAGUAGUAGAUGCAGGCAGGAGUCGGUCUACUUGUCAUGGACGUGAUGCCUAUAUACAUGAUCAUGCCUAGAUAAUCUCAUAAUUAUUCGCUUUUCUAUCAAUUGCUCGACAGUAAUUUGUUCACCCACCAUAAUAAUUAUGCUAUCUUGAGAGAAGCCACUAUUGAAACCUAUGGCCCCCAGGUCUAUCUCUUAUCAUAUAAGCUUUCAAUCUACUUUUAUUUGCAUCUUUACUUUUCCAAUCUAUAUUAUAAAAUACCAAAAAUAUAUUUAUCUUAUCAUAUUAUCUCUAUCAGAUCUCACUUUCGCAAGUGGUUGUGAAGGGAUUGACAACCCCUUUAUUGCGUUGGUUGCGAGUUCUUGUUUGUUUGUGUAGGUGCGUGGGACUUUUGAGAAGCCUCCUACUGGAUUGAUACCUUGGUUCUCAAAAACUGAGGGAAAUACUUACGUUACUAUUGCUGCAUCACCCUUUCCUCUUCAAGGAAAACCAACGCAAGCUAAAGACGUAGCAGUGUGUUGAGGAACUCAGCGUCCCUUGGGUGGUCCUAAGAAUGAAAUACAAGUGUCGUUAGUUGCGAUUAGGAGUAGGCAAUGGUGGACAGUAUGAAAAGGAAGAGGGUUGUGAGCUAACCGCAACAUGGCCGGCAUAGUGCUCUACCUCCAGAACUAUGGAGCAAGUGUUCUCAUCACAUGAGGCGCCGCUAAGGUCUCUUAGCUUGGACACUUGGAUCCAUCAACCUCUCCAUUUCCUCAGGUGGUUGUACACCUGGGUGGCAGACACCUUUUGCCCACAGAACUCGAACACCUGCGUCGCAACGUUGUUCAAGUGCACCUUCUUGAAGCCCUUGUCAGUCCUAACUCCACUAGAGAUGAGCUCACACAUCUUAUUCAGCACAAAUGUGGACAUGAACGGCUGCCACUUCAUGUUGUUCGACCUACCAUCCUUCUUUGCCUUUGCUGCUGCUACCUUGAGUGCAACGGCAGCAACAGCAGUAGCAGGAGUUAGCUCAACGAGCACUACUGGCACAUAGAGGGAAUCAGACGCGAACACCUCUGAAUCAUGUGCCAUCUCGGACAUAGUCUACGAGUCCUCGACAAACGAUGGAGCAAACUGGCUGUCAGACAGGACAAGGGCCUGACUAAGAUCUUGCGUCUACGUGGUCAUGUCCUACAAUCGUAGCAUGCAUUGACAGUAAGCAUAGCACACAACAUACCGGAGAAUCCAUGAAAGCAGCAGCAUACAUGUACAUGGUUCAUGGCUAUCAUACUAAGCAUACCCGACAACCUAUGAGCACGAACAUACAUCUACAACAAACAGCAUGCUACAAAUGGACCACCAAUAGGUACAAAUCAUAGAUCUAAGCACGAAUCAACACAAGCACAAGGUUCAACUUCGAACUCUACUACUAAUCUAGCCUACCACAUGCUUGAACAUCUAGCCCUACCAUAAAUUGCAACCGCAGCAUAGCAAUCAACCAUAUCAGCUCACAGAUUAUACCACUAAUCAACCAUGCAUCUAGAUCAAAUCCUAGCUGCAGUUCAGAUCUAGCUAGAAGGAACAAAGAGAAAGGGGGAUUGAACUCACAGAGGCCAUGGCUGCAGCUCGAGGACGAGGGGGGACGGUCGUGGAAGAUCAACGCCGGUCGGUGAAGGAGUGCCGACGCCGUGGACCGUCGGCCGAUGAAGAUCCGCCGCUUACCUGCUCGUCGGUGCCGAUGCAUGUCGGAGGGAAAGCUCGAACGAAGGGAGAAUGGUGGCGGGAGUUGGGGUGGUGAGGAAGGGGGCUAAAUAGGGGUGGACUCGGCGGGAGGUGAGCCGAAAUCCUCCCGCCGAUUUUUCGGUGACGCGGGUGAGCUCACGCCAUCUCCCUGCUUGCACGAGGGAAAAAGCGCGUCGCCCUCCCCUGCCUCGCCCGAGCCAGGCUCGCGAGCUACUGUCGAUUCGGGCGUUUCCCCUAGGCCUGGCCUGGACGUGCUUUAAGUUCCGUGCGAUGUGGGCCGCACAGUGAAUGCAGGUUACCAAACGGACUCAAUCUUUCCUGCACGGGCCAGGCUGGGCCAUAUGCAGGCAACCAAACACGCCCAAUGUGGUCUCGCCAGCCCAUCCGUGGUAUACCAUCUCCAACGUCAUCAUGUAGUUUUGUGGUGCCGUUGCACGAGUGGAGACAAUGUGGCCAUCCAGCUCGUCAACCAUGAUGAUGGUAAGUUUUGCUUCUUGUUGCUCUAUAUGUUUGUAAAUUCAUUCAUUCACUCAAUGUUUUAACUUGAUAAUAAUCAUGUUGUGUAGCUCGGACGUGUUGCCGUAUUGUACUAUAGGACAGAGAGCAAACCAUUUACAUUCAUACAUGUUGGAUGAAGCUCAAGGACAAGGGUGCGUGAAAUGAAGUGUGCCGAUUCUGGCUCAAGUAUCAUUGAAUUUGGAAUCGAUGAAGGGUGGGCUCGAUUGAAACCAUACGAGAUGGCUCAUGAUUUCAUAUUUAACAUUUUUUAUGAUAAAAAGGGCGUCGGUCUGAUUUUCAAUAGCAAUAACCAUAAAGUUCUUAUAAAACUACUGAAAAUGAAAAUCAAAACUUAUGACAAGGCACCUACAAUAUCAGACUAUAAAAGACCUCACCAGAUCUAAGGAGCUCUAGACCAUCGACAAGAGGUAGUCCAGGAAGAUAACAACAAACGUUGGAGACGUUGUUGUCUAAUACUCCCUUCGUCACAUUUAAAUGUUGCUCAAACAGAUGUAUAGCAUCUACCCUCUCAACAGCAGCAGAAAACAAAAGGGUAUGAAUAUAGUUUUUCCAAAUCAACAUACACACAAAAGUGAUAACAUUAUCAGCAAGCUUCUCUCCACCGGUCUCCCACCUAGAAUGUUCCUUGAUCUCCCAUCAAUCUUCAAUCGAUCCAGAGAAUGCCAAAACGCAAACCUUGUACCGCUCUAAACUCAUUGUUUGUUGUUUGUUGGUGCACUUUACCACCCACCUAAUCUUUCUGAUCUUUCUGUUUUUUCUGCAAAAUGUUCCAAUCACUCAGCCAUCUAUCUAUUAUAUUAAGGGCAUGUACAAUAGGGGCAGUUGGUAGGUGCUUCCCGGCGCAUUCACAUAGACAAAAAAGUAUGAGGCAUUCAGUUGAAUAAUUUCUUUCGCAAUGCAGUGCGUUGAGACCAUCAACUUUGGGACCCACGUAGUGAGCUGAAGCUUGGCAAGAGGUAACAUGCAUAGGAAUGCGCGCUCACCGUCGCCAGCAUGCCCCUCUUUCUCUCAUCACUUUUGGUCGUUGGACCACAACCUCUCUCCCCAAAUACCCACCUCUUGCAGAAGAAUCAUCUGUCUUUGUGAGGCAACCACUUUUGUUUCACGCUUGGCAUCCGAGCCUAGCUGACAUGCGGGGUAGCACCCUUGGGGCAUACUGUUGACCAUGCCCUAAUAGAGACACAAAGGUUAGUAACUUUAACAUUGUCAAAAAUGAUGCCCUCCUAUUCAAAUUAAUUGACGCGGUUUCAGUACGACUUUACUAGUAUAAAAUACUAAAGCUACAUCAAUUAAUUCAGAUCAAAGGGAGUACUCUACUGUUUCUUAAUUUCCAGAUGGUCUAGAAGACCACGGCAACAGGUGUGAAUACCGGAUGUUUCUCACCAGAUUUGAAUUUGGAGGAAGGACUAGGUGCAGAUUUUUUUCGAGUUUCAAGCUAGGAACACUGUGGCAGGAACGUGUCAAAGUCAACGCAAAGACUCUGCCCACACUGCUCAGCUUAGAUGCUGAUUGAUAACGUGUUCAAAAAAAAAAUGAUGCUGAUUGAUGAUAGCUGUGUUUUCUACCAGUUAUUAGUGAUGGCAGUCGACGUGCUGGUCUUUGCUUACCCAAGAAAAACUCAAUGUCGCCUCGCUCUUGCUAUCAACUUUUUUUUCUUUCUUUCUAUAUCAACUAAAAUUGCUUGUGAUUUACUCCGUAUAUUGUAAUGGCAUCCGUCUGAUCGCCUGUGUGUGAGAUGGUAUUCUGGUCUCUUGUCCGGCGCCCAUUUUCAUCACGCAUUGCGACAGAAUUUUCUUGGUAACUGGCGUGACAAUACAAUAUUUCCUUUGGAAGCAACGGAAAGUAAAUAAUUUGCAUUCACCAUUUCCAACUGCAAGCGCCCAAUGCUGCAGCAUCCUCUGCACUCCGCAAGAGCACGAAUCCUAACAAGCAGCCGUCGAAAAAGGAGACACGCUAAGCUAAAGACGUCAUCCGCGGCGGCAUCGGCGGGCACUCCGACCGCGGCAGCCCCGGCAGCGGCGGCGGCCCGAGCCCUCCGCGGCAGAGCGGGCACGUCCGGCGCUUCCGGAGCCAGCGGUCGACGUCGCAGCUCGCGUGGUAGAAGUGCCCGCAGGCCGGCACCACCCGCACCAGCUCGCCGGCCUCGCCCUCGCCGUACUCCGACAGGCAAAUGGCGCACCGCUCCUCCUCUCCCUCCCCCUUCUCCUUCUCCUUCUUCCUGGCGGCCGCCUGCUCGUACGUCAUGAGCGUGUCGUCGCCGAGGGCGGCCUCGACGUCGGCGUCGUGCACCGCGGCGCUCCCGGUGGCGCCGGCCGCGUCGUCGCAGGCUCCACCGGUGGCCAUGACGGCCACGGCGACGAUGAUGACCGCCAUCACGACCACCGCGGCGAUCUGGAGGUGGAGCACGAGUUCCGGGUCCAUGCUCAGUGCUCCUUGGCCAAUGCCAAUGCCAAUGCCAGCGAACUACCGCUCCAGUCCAGCCUCCAGCCUUUGUAUAGGAGCUCUCCGGUCCAGAGCCUUCUCGGCCAAGUCAGGACGUAGUGUGAAAGAAAGGCGGAGGUUGAGCUUUCCCAGAAUGUUUCAGCUGAUUUCCGCCUUUCUUCUUCCACUGGACAAUUCCCUUGUGGCUGUCUUGUUUCACUUCACUACUCCGGUUUUGGACUUAAUUCAAUUGUCUUCUUCUCUUCUCUCUCUUUUUAUCCCUUUUGAAAAUGAAUCAAUAUGUGAUUACGCGUAACUUGUAUCCCUUUGCCACCCUUAAUAUAAAAUGAAAACGACGUCGCUUUCUUCCAUUUACAACAGCCUCACUGGUUAUGAAAACUAAAGCUGUUUGCUCACCAAUUGACUUCUGUAUUUUCUUAAAAUCCAAUCCUGUUUUUUAUUCCUUUUUUUUUUUGCGGGAGAUCAUGUUUCUAAUUCUUCUUUCAACUAAAAGAAGUUAUCCACAUCAUGUUUUUUCUUCUGCGGUGCGCAUUAGGUUACCUACAAAGAAUUUGUCAAAAAAAAAGGUUACAAACAAAGAAUUGCUCUAAAAUUAAUCAGAUAGAUCAUACUAGAAAUUUAUCCAAUUGAUUAAUCCUAAUGGAGUAUCGAAAAGACAGGAAGGGCUAUAGUAAGAUUAUUAUCCCUGGUAUUCGUCAUAAUUUUUACCAUAUGAUUAGUUGAUGCGCUCGCUCGCGUGCCGACCACAUAGAAAAACAGAAGCACUAAGAUUGCAGUAACGCGCUUUGUUUAAAUAUAUAAAUCGUAUGUAUUUAUACUGCACUUGCUCGGACAGUAACGUUUUAGAUUCUACACCGCUGUGAAAAUUCGCGGCAGCUGACACUGGCAAAAUCGUGGAACCAUCCAAUUGUGUCGUAGGCCGGCCCCGCUCCAGGAAAACCUUCACGCUCGCUUCUAGAACAUCUAGUUCUUGUGUUGCUUUCCUUGUGAGCUCUUUGACUCGGGUGACAUCUCUCGGUGUCCUCAGUCGUUCCUUCCUCUUCCGACUGGAAAGAACCCAUGCGACCUGCGUCCGCCCGCGUCUUGGACGGCUCUCAGGCUCUCGGAUAGCUAGAACACGUCAAAGUCAACUGAUGAACCCACUGGUCUGGUACGGUGGUACCCUCCCCUGUAAGCGUUGGUAGACUGAUGGCGAUGUUAUGAACAUUUUGAUAAUCAACUUGACGGUUUUGCUGACUGUUUACAAAACGCGUAGAGAGACGAGUGGGAGGAGCAGCCAAGCCCCGAGGCCGAAGACGGCGGGGACGCCGGCGACGGUGAGGCCUCGGACAGGAGUGACCCGGAACUUACAAUGACACGGCGGCGGGCGACACAGGUGGAGGCCUGGAGGGAAGUCGAGGUUGGCGGGUUCGGGUGGAGGGUGCGGACUCGCCGGAGAAGAAGAUGAGCAUGUCAGACGUGAGCAGGAGGAAGGGAUGGCGGCCGUUAGAUUUCAGUAAUUCAACCGACCGAUGUAAAUAGCUUUUCCAGGCAAGUGUGGCAUGGGUGCUUCUCACCCAAUUCGCCAUCGGCUGUUGUUUCUCAUUUGCCUACCUGUGUUAAACGUAUCAGAAAUAUGAAAGGCCAUCACUUGGACACGUCAUCACCUAAUCCCUAUUAGUUAAGCCGUUGGCGUGAUGCACCGUAACGAAUGAAAUUCGCACCGGAACCAGUAAAAUUCUUGGAGCAAAGAGAGAACGUCCCAUUUCACCAGUAGCAAGCUGACGUAAAUGAAGGUGGAGUACAAUGCAUCUGUCUCUACUAAGACUACUACGAAGCUCGAAGCAGCUGGAGCUGAUCGGCGAAAAAAAUGAUCGACUAUGCUACUACUACGACGACGGCGGCGGCGGCGGCGCGGGUCGGCGGGCGCGGCCAGAGCGCGCCCCGGCAGAGCGGGCAGGUCCGGCGCGCCCGGAUCCACCGGUCGGCGUCGCACGCGGCGUGGAAGAAGUGCCCGCACGCCGGCACCACGCGCACCACCUCCUCGGGCGCCUUGGCGUACUCCGACUGGCAGAACGCGCAGCAGCGCUGCCGCGCCCUCGCCGCCUCGCCCACCUGCGCGUACGCCACCAGCGUCGCGUCGCCCAGCGCGCGCUCCACGUCCUCGGCCGCCGCCGCGGCGCCGGCGUCGUCCCUGCAGGCGCCCGAGGCGGCGGCGGCGAGGGCGACGAUGAGCACCGCCAGGGCGACCACCGCCGCCACCUCGAGAUCGAACGCCAUGGCGGGGCUCAUCUCUUCCGUCUUCCUUCCUUCCUGGCCUGAUCGAUGGAACGAACGGCAGUGCGCGACACCAACCUUGUAUGCGCAGUGCGUGUGCUCUUCCGAGCUUCCCUUCUUCCUUGGCCUGACCUCUUUUUGUAGUAUCUUCCGUGUUUCAGCUAACCAGAUUAACGAACGGGCCUUCUUUUCUCGGUGGCCUUCUUUUCCGUGUCUCCCCUCCCCUCUCACUCGGCUCGCGGUCUGCUUUCUGUACGAGCUGGCGGUUACCACGAAUAAAAGUUUUUUUUUCACGGAAAAUUACCAAUCUAUUCAUUUUUAAUCAUGACAGUACAACGAACACCAGUAAUAAUAAAAGCUACAUCCAGACCCGUAGACCGCCUAAUGACAAACUUGGUUAUGUUAGAAUCUUCAGAUUUGUGCGAGUGUUGUUUUCCUUUUUCUUUUUCACGUAUGGUUGGUAUCGAGACACUAUUUUAAAGGAAAUAAAGAUUAAAAGUUCAUGCCUACAAACGUUGGCAUCAAAAUCUAAUGUCCCACUCCAAUCAAAAGAGAAAGAUCUAAUGUACUACUUUAGAGUUUGAAUCAUUAGAUUUUUUCUGUCUAGUGAUUUGAUCGAGACACAGUAAAAUCGCAGCCACUGCGAUUUAAGGUCUAAGCCAUGACCUAAGGCCAACCAGCAUGACACAACUGCAAAAAACAACACAAUAAAAGGGGGUUUAAGAUCAACAUGCAAAUGCCAGCACGGGCACAUAAUCCUGAUAACUUUUGUCAAUGUUUGUCACUGAAAAUUUCUAGAAUUUUCUUAAUUUGUUUUCAAUAUUUUUUUCGAUUUUAUGGCUCACCCGAGAUCAUUUGAGCUCGAGACUAGAAGAGUACUUCGUCGAUUUCCUUUCUUCUUCCGGUGGACAAUUCCCUUGCGGUUGUCUUGUUGCUACUCCGGUUUUGCACUUAAUUGUCUUCAUCUUUUUCUUCUCUCUUUGCUUUGCUCUACGGUAGAGUUGGACUUAAUCAGGAUGUGAUUACCAUGUAACUUGUAUCCCUUUGCCUCUCUAAAUAAAAUAAAAUGGAAAAUGUCUUCCAUUUACAACAGCCUCACUGGCUAUGACAACUACACUGUUUGUUCAUCGGUCGAUUUUUUGUAAAAAACGAUAUUUUCUUAUUCUCUCGAUAGAAAAAUGGCUAUCCACAUUAUUUUCGGGGAAAACCUUCUCGCUUCUAAAACAUUAGUUCGGAGUCGUUCCUCUUCCCACUGGAAGGAGAGCGUAGCCUAAGUUAAGUUAGAACACGUCAAAGUCCACGCGAGGACUACUAUGGUACUCCUGUGCACGUGUUGGUCGAUUGAUGUUAUUAUUUGAACAUUAACUUACGGUUUCGCUAAUACAAUACUCAGCCAACCCAAACUAAUCUUUGCGUCAACCGAUCUCCAGAACGCGUAGAGAGACGAGGGGAAGGAGCAUCGAAGCCCCGAGACCAAAAACGGCCAUGUACGAGGAAGACGGCGAGGCCUCGGACGGAAGCGAGCCCGUAACCGGCGACGACGCGGCAACGGACGACGACGCAGAUGUUAAACGCAUCAGAUGUAUGAUGAAAUGUUAUCAACUGGACACGCUAUCACCACCUAACGCCGAUUACUUAAUUAGUAUUACGCCGUUGGCGUGAUGCGCCGGACGCCAGCCCACCAAAGUUAGUUCUUGGACAAAGAAAUGGUGUGCCGUUUCACCAGUAGCAAGCUGACGUACGUGCCCAAGUAAGUGACGGCGUACAAUGCGAGAAUAGAAUUUUGGAAUUCGGGUGUAUUUGAGGACCUUAUUUUAAAUACUUUGAAAAUCACAUUUAAGGUUUCAAAAAAUUCUGAAAACAAUUCUACUUGAUCAUAUGGAUUUAUAGUACACAUGUGUAAAGUUUGGUGAUGAAAUAAGUAAAUAUGCGACCUAUACAAAAAUGACAAAAAUGGUUAUUUCCAAAUAGUGAAUAAUGCAUGCACUGUUCACCUUUCCAAAAUCAUGAUUUUGUCAUUUUUGUGUAACUCACAUGGUUACUUAUUUCAGCAUCAAAAUUUACACAUGUGUAAUAUACAUUCAUAUAAACAUAUUGAUUUGUUUUUAGAAUUUUUUGAAACUUUAAAAUAGCAUUUUGGCACAGUUCCAAAAAUAGGGCUCCAAUGCAUCGGGGUUCCAAUGUGACUUUUUGCGUACAAUGCAUCUUUCUCUACUACUACGAUGCAGCUGAAGCUGAUAGGGGGAAAUAAUGAUCGACUAUGGUGGUACUACUACGGCGGCGGCGGCCAGAGGGCGCCCCGGCAGAGCGGGCACAUCCGGCGCGUCCGGAUCCACCGGUCGGCGUCGCACGCGGCGUGGGAGAAGUGCCCGCAAGCCGGCACGCGCACCAGCUCUUCCGGCGCCUUGGCGUACUCCGGCAGGCAGAACGCGCCCUCGCCCGCCUCCGCGUACGCGUACGCCACCAGCGUCGCGUCGCCGAGCGCGCGCUCCGCGUCGUCAACCGCCGCUCCAGCGUCGUCGUCGGAGGCGAGGGCGAUGAUGAGCACCGCCACGGCGAUCACCACGGCCACCUCGAGAUCGAGGGCCUGAUCGAUCGGACUGCAGGGCGCGACAGUAACCUUCUAUGCGCAGUGCACGUCCUCUUCCCUUUGAUUGGUGUGGCCUCCUUUUGUAGUAUCUUCAUUGCUCCAGGUUAACCAAAUUAACAGGGCAUCUGCCUUCUUUCCCGUGUCUCACAUCACUCGGCUCGCGCUCUGGUCGGCAAAUUUCCUUCUUGCAGUGGCCAAGUCGGUUACAGCAUCUCCAAUAGAUGGUUCAAAUUUUAACGGUCCAAAACCGAAGAUUUAAAAUAUGGUCCGUCAAAUAUGUGCUUUAGAGCUUCCGAAAUGCUCAACUCCAACAGAUGGUUUAAAUCAGAGAUGUAAAAGAGCAACUCCAACAAAUGGUCCAAAACGAAGAUGUAAAAUUGCCUUGAUCGUCUUCUUCAAUCUCGGGAUGUAGGCCACCUUCAUCAAAUCCGUCGCCAUCAAGCUCUCCCCGAGCGCGCCAUCCUUCCCGUGAUGAGCUCCUCUCCCAAUUCCUCUAUUUUUUUUUCCUUCGAUCGGUGUCGUUUGUCACCGCUCCUGAGCACGUAGGCGGCGACGGCAGCGAUAAUUUGGGGAAUGGCAGCGGCGGAUUGCAGCUGACUGGUGCAGUUGGGCGCUUGCGGGCGGUCACCGAAUUUGGACCAGUUCUCAGUAAUGCAAAUUUGCACCACGAUGACCGGAUGGUCCAAAAUUUAGGUAUUUUUACAUUUGAACCGUCUAUUGAAGAUGCUCUUAUACUUGUGCGUCCCCUUCUGCUUUUCCCUUUGGAGCCAUUAUACUGGCACUUUUGCGACCUUAUUUUUUGUGAAGGAUAAAGUUUGUGCCUGCCUUUUGCGACAAUCAAAAACUGUCUUGUGCGAAACAAGAAACGACUUAAGAUCGCAGCCACAGUAAAACCAUAUACGGAGUACUCAUGUCAACCUACGACCAACCAGCAUGAAACAGCCGCAAAAACAACAUUAGAAAAGGGUGCAAGACGAACGGAUUAAGAUUAAGAUCCAAAUGCCAGCACGGCACAUAAUCCAGAUAACACAAUCUAUAACUCCAGCAGGACAAACAGAACUCAAUGGAACAGGUCAUUGUGCAGAGUGCCGGACUUCAACAAAAACGCACGUUGCAAGACUACACUGGGGUGGACAAAGAGCUCUUCACUCGUCGUCAUCCUCAUCGUCAUCG